rnacentral:lncRNA from 1 species
GGGGACUGGUUAGAUAUUGAAUACUCUGUGGAGCAAGGAUCCCCCAAGAUCACAGUGCACUCAGUGAAGGCCACACAACGUAGGCAACUGGAAGAGGUGUGCAUGACCAGUAUCCACAAGAGAAAAGGAAUGUUGAAUCACACAAUCUUUUUCACCUUGGACUCCCUGAAUCUUCCUUGGGAUACACCCCUAUUCUAGGCCACAUGGUUAACGUGGUGAUAAUUCAGAGCACCCAGCAAAAUUACAAGUGGAGAGCAAUCUCCAUGACCCCAAUUUCAGGAGCAGUAGUGGGCAUAGGCCCUGGGAAUUCCUCCUCAUUGUUAUUUUUAUACCAAUAGAGGGCCUCAUUUAGUGCAAAUGCUUAGAUUAGGAACUCUAAAGAAAAUGUCAAACAUGAACUUUCAGGACAACAGAGUGCCUAGAUCCAUCUCCAGAGGGUUUGCCUCAUUGUGAGCAGGGGGCAAUCAUCCCAUGCUAGACUCUGAACUUACUAAUCAUCGUCUUCUGGGGAAAGAAUCCCAGACAACCCUCUGCCUGCAGUGACAGAUAACAAGGGCAGAGUUCAUGUUAUUAAUUUUAAUAAAUGAAGUUUUGGCGCAGCCACAAUGCUUAUCCACGGCCAUGUCUAACUGCCCAUCCAGUCCCCAGGAAUGGAGUUGUUCAGCAUCCCAGUAGAGCCGAGCUUACUUUUCACAGGAAGUCGUCCAUAGGUCUGGCAUCUGGUUUGCAGGGACUGUGUGGUCCUGUUAAAAUCGGAGGGACAUUGGGGACCUGGCCUGAUGAUUGGGACAGAGCCAG